UGCCCUAGUAACGGCGAGUGAAGCGGCAACAGCUCAAAUUUGAAAUCUGGCGCAAGCCCGAGUUGUAAUUUGUAGAGGAUGCUUCUGGGCAGCGGCCGGUCUAAGUCCCUUGGAACAGGGCGUCAUAGAGGGUGAGAAUCCCGUAUGCGACCGGCUGGCACCCGUCACGUAGCUCCUUCGACGAGUCGAGUUGUUUGGGAAUGCAGCUCUAAAUGGGAGGUAAAUUCCUUCUAAAGCUAAAUACCGGCCAGUGACCGAUAGCGCACAAGUAGAGUGAUCGAAAGAUGAAAAGCACUUUGGAAAGAGAGUUAAAAAGCACGUGAAAUUGUUGAAAGGGAAGCGCAUGCAACCAGACUUGUCGGCGGUGUUCCGCCGGUCUUCUGACCGGUUCAUUCGCCGUCGGCAGGCCAGCAUCAUCUGGGUGCGCCGGAUAAAGGCGUGGGGAAUGUGGCCCCUCGGGGUGUUAUAGCUCCACGCACAAUACGGCGCCGCCCGGGUGAGGUCCGCGCUUCGGCUAGGAUGCUGGCGUAAUGGUUGCCUGCGACCCGUCUUGAAACACGGACCAAGGAGUCUAACAUCUAUGCGAGUGUUCGGGUGUCAAACCCCUACGCGGAAUGAAAGUGAACGGAGGUGGGAAGCUUCGGCUGCACCAUCGACCGAUCCUGAUGUCCUCGGAUGGAUUUGAGUAAGAGCAUAGCUGUUGGGACCCGAAAGAUGGUGAACUAUGCCUGAAUAGGGUGAAGCCAGAGGAAACUCUGGUGGAGGCUGGCAGCGGUUCUGACGUGCAAAUCGAUCGUCAAAUUUGGGUAUAGGGGCGAAAGACUAAUCGAACCAUCUAGUAGCUGGUUCCUGCCGAAG
rnacentral:rRNA from 1 species